GACAGAGUCAGGGACGAUAGGAGAAUCGAGGUCAGAGAGAGAGAGAAGAGAGAGAGAGAGAGAGAGAGCAGCGACGUCGCCGGCGGCACCGCAAGUCCGCACGGCGCAAUCUGGCUGCCGCAGUGUCGCCCGCCACCCGCCUCCACAACUGCACUAAGACACAGGUUUCUUCUGCUGCCGCUGGCCGGCUCCCCGGCUCUUCCGCCGGUGUAUCUUACAGCCUCCAGGAGCUCCCCGAGUCGCGGCGCUAGGUCACGGUUGGGCCUCGCCGUCCGGCCGUCACCGAAUCCCAGUGCGACCGUUCGCCAUCGCCGAAUCGUCGUCCAUCUCUCCGUGGCUCCCCGGCUCGGCGACUCCAAGUACCCAAUCUCCAAUCGAUAACUCUCCUCUGUUCACUGCCCUCUCCCCACAAAUUUAUGUCCUUUGAUGUUCUUUUAUUUAGUUUAUUACUCGCCCCGUACAAUAAUUAUUGUCGUGAUUUUAGUUCAAAUUAUGUGAUGAAUUUUGAGUUCCCGUUCAAUUAGCGUACAAAUCAGAUGAAUUUGUGUACGAACCAAAUGAAUUUAUAUACAAACCAAAUGAUCAUUAGCUUAGUAGUUAACAAUUGACUAUUGUGUUAAAAUUACUACGGAUUAUCCGGAAAAGAAAUUACCCGAACGUUUGGCCUGGG
rnacentral:lncRNA from 1 species